CUAAGACGUUGAUAGGCUGGGUGUGUAAGCGUAGCGAUACGUUGAGCUAACCAGUACUAAUGAACCGUGAGGCUUAACCUGACAACACCGAAGGUGUUU
rnacentral:rRNA from 1 species